GCUACCCAUCCCAUGUGUACAAAGCAUAUCCCUUCCUCAUUCCUCUGCUCCACCAUCUUUGAGAAGGGAAAAAUAGAUGGAGAGGCUGUACCAAAUUGAUUGGCCUGCUCGUCCAUGUGAUGGGGAGUGCCGGAGUGGCUGCACCAAAUCGAGUGGCCUGCCCGUGCAUCAACAAAGCUGGGAAGGAGAUUAUCUUGGAGGCCAGAUCUGAGCGAGGUCGGGGCACGCGUUCCAGCCGCGGAUUUGGCGCUCCCUAGCAGCGAGGCAAGGCGGUCGCCGGGGAGGCCACUGAAGAAUAUGAGUGAUCCAUAGUUGGUAACUUCCCUAAUGGCGCUGCUAUCCUGUUCGUGUCACUGGGCCAAGGAUUGUGGUGUCGGGUUUGACGGCCAUGUUCUUCAUAGUGUUCCUCAUCUUAUGUGGCAGAGUAGUGAUGGAAAGUCCACAGGUGGAGGCGAGUCAUGGGCUCCCUAGUUGCUACUGCUGUCAAGUUCCACCUAUGUGAUUCGAAAAAAACUUCCACCAAUGUAAUGUGCUACUACUUUGCAUCUUUCCUACUUCCUCCACACUGUUCUUCACAGGUAUGCUUCCCGCCUCUAGUUGGAUAAAAGGUAUAUUCUCUAUUUGUUGUACCAUAUAAUAGCAAGUUAUAUCAAUGAUAUGUGUAGUUAAGACAAACGAAGAAGGUUCACAUGUAUUAACUGAAGUUGGUUCAUGUGUGUUAAUUGAUAUGCAAUAGAUUUUUCGCAUGUGUUGUAGGCGAUGCCUAUAACACUGGAGCUUUUCUCAUUAUUCUCUUCAACUGAAACAGCUGUAGGAUGGAAGAGAUGUUACCAAGAACACAACUCACAAAAGUGCAUGUCUGAAUGUAUUUCAACCUUAUAUACUAAGUGUCCUCCCUAUAUUGAUCAUGUGAUGUAUUCUUUCUCUAUCCCGGUAAACAUAAAUUAGUUGCCUUUCAAUAUUGUAAAAUAUUUGAUGCUUCUCAUAUUUUUCGUCCAAUGAGUUCAGCAAUUUUGCUACCACUGUUAUUGGUGCAGAGUAAAUAUAAUAUGAAAGUUCUUGUUGAAAUUAGUAGAAUAUGCUUUCGAGGUGUUAUAAUUUCUAGAUAUAUACCACAAUUGUCACAGUAAUACUUGUCAGUUCCUUUGUAGUUAGUUUGUGACUAUCACAACAUGUUCAUGUACAUAUUUUUUUUGUAACAGAUCUAUUACAGCUUGUCGUGAAAAGUAAAAUCCUAAAAAAGUCACCGGAAAACUUUAAAGAUAGCAACCCAAAGAAGUUGGGAGACAUAAAUAAUUCAGAUAUGGUACCAUUAUAACUGAUAUGACUCAAUUAUCAGUACAUGUUAGUCUCAUUUUCCUCCAAAAGUGGUGAUAUCAUAUCUUAGAGGAGUCUGAAUCAUUACCUGACUUGUGGUUUUCGUGCCUCAUUGCACUAAGUUCUUGUAAUGUUCUCCUAUGUAAAAUAUUUCUAGCGCUCCUUGUGUGUUGCUAUCUAUCUCCAUCAUUUUUGGCGAACUUUCUUCUACCGAGUGCCUACAUUUGUGGAGUUAGUCAAGUAAAAUUAUUACGUUACAAUGAUGAAUAAACAUGAGUCACGAUUCAUUUGUUGAUAAAUAAUUAAAGAUAGUGUUCCAUAUGUAAGGAAGUUCUCGAGUUUCAUCUAUGUCUAGAUCUGUAUAUAUUCCUGUGAGGCUGGUUUACUUUAGGUACAACCCUAUUAAAUAAAUGACAAAUCUUUUAGAUUUCUUGCAACCAUAGUCUAGCGCCGGUGUUAUCACCCGUAAAGAGGUUAAGCUGAAAAAUGCAAAUCUUAGCCAGAGUGGUGGAAGUCCAAUUAAAGUUUCAAUAAUGAGUAUGCAUUAUGCUUUCUCUGUUAUUAGAAUCAGUCGUUUUUCAUGGUUAGAAAUAUUAAUUAGAUUAUUUAAAACUACAGAGUAUAAGCAUACCUGAGCAUUAUUUAACUUUAUCUGCUGGUUUUGUAUUGUGUCCUUGGUGGAAAACUCAGAGUAGUAAUCUGGAAAACAUUCUGAUGGUCGUUUCACCCCCUUUACCUUUGUAUUGUACGCCGAAAAAAAAUCAUUUCAUUUCUCAAUGGGUGAUAUUUUGUGGAUUCCACAACCUUAAAAGUUGAUAGUGUAUAAGUGGAUACUUCUGAUAGUAGCAUGAUGUUUUUAAUAUUGAUAGUAAGAUGAUUUGUUUGGCCAUGUCAAACCAUACAGAAUAUAAUUAGCAAUUUUUGUUUAAAUUGGUGGGGCAGUCUGUAAUUGAAUGUUUAAUGAGCAAACAAUUUUGUCCAUCAAAAUCAUAUCGAGGCUCAUGAACUGAUCGGUUGCAUGAUUGAGCGAAUUGCAUAUGAUCGGUACUUUCACUUGAAUGUUCUAGUUUGUCCUGUUGUUGAUAAGCACUAAGCUUCUUGCACGCCAUAGUUUUUUGGCUGCAAAAGGAUUCGAAAAUUGUUAGUCACUACCUAUGCAGUUGUUAUCCUGAUAAGUGAUGAGCCUUGAUAAUUCAGGUGAGAGGCAGCUCAGAAGGUCUAUGUUGACUUCAUUGGGCGUCGAGUUGCAGUCACAUCACAGUUUUGGCGGUUUCAGAUGUUUUUCUGGCGUCACAGAACCCGUAGUCUUCGAUUUUGUUAGUGGUGCUAUGGUCUGGUAGCAGAUUUGGUAGCCUUCAUGAAUCGGAAGACCUUGAUUUUGCUGAUGGUUCUCUGGUCGGGUAGUAGAUUUGCUAGUUUGUCCAGUUAAGACUCUUGGGCGUGUGCUUGGUGUGUCUGGUUGGGUGUUGUUCUAUUUUCUUUCCGCACUGACUCCAUGUGGAGUUUAUUUCUCCCUUUCGAUCAAGAAUCCAUGUAGAGUUUCGUUGAUUGAGUCCGUCCCUGGGUUGUAGUUUUUUGUGCAUGUGCCCGAUUUGGAAGUAGGUGCACGUGAGGAUUCAUAUCUUGUUUUGUCUCUUGGAAGGAUGUGCACGUGAGGAUUCGUAUCUUCUUUUGUCUCGUGAUAAUGGUUGUACGUGUCAUAUGUGUCAUGUACAUAUAUGUCAUGUACAUAUGUGUCCUGUACUGUACGGAGGACGGGGCAUGUACUCGGUCAUUUUUUUACUAUCUAUGUAAGCUUACACGUGAUUGUUAUAAAGAGAUCUUUAUAUAAAAAAAGAUGUCUUAGACUAUUUAGACGUGACAUGUUAAGUUAGUUGUAUGGGACAAUAUUCGUAUGUUACGCUGCAAGUUUUAAAUCUCAGCCGUCAAUAUCUAAAAUUAACGACCGUGAUAAUUUAAUCUAUGUGGAUCAACGUGAUGGCUUGUUUGACUUCUGUCAUAAGUAUAUAAUAG